rnacentral:rRNA from 1 species
UGGGGAAUAUUGCACAAUGGGCGCAAGCCUGAUGCAGCCAUGCCGCGUGUAUGAAGAAGGCCUUCGGGUUGUAAAGUACUUUCAGCGGGGAGGAAGGGAGUAAAGUUAAUACCUUUGCUCAUUGACGUUACCCGCAGAAGAAGCACCGGCUAACUCCGUGCCAGCAGCCGCGGUAAUACGGAGGGUGCAAGCGUUAUUCGGAAUUACUGGGCGUAAAGCGUACGCAGGCGGUUUGUUAAGUCAGAUGUGAAAUCCCCGGGCUCAACCGGGGAACUGCAUCUGAUACUGGCAAGCUUGAGUCUCGUAGAGGGGCGUAGAAGUCCAGCGGUGGCGGUGAAAUGCGUAAAGUUCUGGAGGAGUACCGGUGGCGAAGGCGGCCCCCUGGACGAAGACUAACGCUCAGGUGCGAAAGCGUGGGGAGCAAACAGG